GACGAACGCUGGCGGCGUGCUUAACACAUGCAAGUCGAACGGAAAGGCCCUGCUUUUGUGGGGUGCUCGAGUGGCGAACGGGUGCGUAACACGUGAGUAACCUGCCCUUGACUUUGGGAUAACUUCAGGAAACUGGGGCUAAUACCGGAUAGGAGCUCCUGCUGCAUGGUGGGGGUUGGAACGUUUCGGCGGUUGGGGAUGGACUCGCGGCUUAUCAGCUUGUUGGUGGGGUAGUGGCUUACCAAGGCUUUGACGGGUAGCCGGCCUGAGAGGGUGACCGGCCACAUGGGGACUGAGGUACGGCCCAGAGUGCUACGGGAGGCAGCAGUGGGGAAUAUUGCACAAUGGGCGGAAGCGUGAUGCAGAAACGCCGGGUGCGGGAUGACGGCCUGCGGGUUGUAAACAGCUGUCGCCUGUGACGAAGCGUGAGUGACGGUAAUGGGUAAAGAAGCACCGGCUAACUACGUG
rnacentral:rRNA from 1 species